rnacentral:rRNA from 1 species
CCAAAAGUUAGCGGCGGACGGGUGAGUAACACGUGGGCAACCUGCCUAUAAGACUGGGAUAACUUCGGGAAACCGGAGCUAAUACCGGAUAACAUAUGAGACCACAUGGUCUCAUAUUAAAAGAUGGCUUUUAGCUAUCACUUAUAGAUGGGCCCGCGGCGCAUUAGCUAGUUGGUGAGGUAAUGGCUCACCAAGGCGACGAUGCGUAGCCGACCUGAGAGGGUGAUCGGCCACACUGGGACUGAGACACGGCCCAGACUCCUACGGGAGGCAGCAGUAGGGAAUCUUCCGCAAUGGACGAAAGUCUGACGGAGCAACGCCGCGUGAGCGAAGAAGGUCUUCGGAUCGUAAAGCUCUGUUGUUAGGGAAGAACAAGUACCGUUCAAAUAGGGCGGUACCUUGACGGUACCUAACCAGAAAGCCACGGCUAACUACG